UCCGGUUUGUCACCGGCAGUCUCCUAUGAGUCCCCAACUGAAUGCUGGCAACAUAGGACGGGGGUUGCGCUCGUUGCGGGACUUAACCCAACAUCUCACGACACGAGCUGACGACAACCAUGCACCACCUGUGCACGACCCAAUAAAGGACCUGCCAUCUCUGACAGAUUUCCGUGCAUGUCAAGCCUAGGUAAGGUUCUUCGCGUUGCAUCGAAUUAAGCAACAUGCUCCGCCGCUUGUGCAGGCCCCCGUCAAUUUCUUUGAGUUUUAAUCUUGCGACCGUACUUCCCAGGCGGCGCAUUUAUCGCGUUAGCUUCGCCACAAACGGGGUCGAUUCCGUUUACAGCAAAUGCGCACCGAGGCAAAGCCCCAACACCUAGUGAACAUCGUUUAUGGCCAA
rnacentral:misc_RNA from 1 species